GAUGAGCUGGAGGAGGUGGCUGGGGAGAGGAGGUCUGGGCUUCUCUGCUUAGGCUGCUGCCCCCGCGACCCGACUUCGGAUAAAGCGGAUGAGGAUGGAUGGAUGGAUGGAUGGAUGGAUGGAGAAACCAACCCUUCAGGUUUCUUGACCAUAGUCAGCCAGAUCCAACACCCUCAUUGAUCAUGUUCAGUUUCAAAACACCAAGAGCUGGUCGUGAGAAAUAUUGAACUUAAGGGUUCAAGACGGGAUGGGGGACAUCACAGAGGCUACAUUUAUUUUUAAUACGGGAUCAUCUUUUUUAUUGUGGCUCCUGAUGUCAAUAUAAGGUCUUUAAUAUAAAAAAAUGUGUAUAAAGUGUGUAAAAUUCUAAAAGAAAGAAAACCCCACUAUAAUACAGCUCUGUACUUAGACAACCAGGUCAGAAGUUGGAAUCAAUUGUGUUUUUACUGUCCACAUCCCCUCUGGGGAAUAGAUUCAAUAAGUCUAUUAUCUCAGCCAGGCCAAUCACAUCAACUGAUCGCACCUGUGUGAGGCAGAGUUUGCUUCAGCCCAACUUUUUAUUAGGAAGUUAGAAAAGACACACACAGACAGACACGUGGCUUGGACGCUCAACUUUGAGGCUCGUGGGUGUUUGGUUGGAGGAGCUGGAAGUUGGGCCUUCUGGAUCCACGGCUGACAGGGCAGCUGUGCAUGCACAGUCCCGCUCAGCGCUCGUAGCUGUGAGGACACAGCGAGUGCAGCUGCAGCGGUCAUGGCUGCUGGCUUCCUAAUUACAAGAUUAUUGCUGGUCUGUUUGUUGAGUGAGGUGAACUACUCCUCAGCUUUUCCAAGAGCCAGAAGUUUUGUGCAACCGAGAGUGUGGCAAAGUGAAGGAGAGGAGGAAGAAGUCUAUAACUAUGAGAACUGUCAUCCUUUCUACUACAUCAGUGCCCAGGACAAAACAUCGGAAAAGCAGGGAGGUUUUAUGGCAGCCCCUAUCCAUAUCUGUAAACAAAACCAUCCCAGUGUGUACCAAAAAGCCUUAAACCUCAAGCCUGCAAACCCCUUCCAGCCACGAUCUAAUGUUGCCACCAAAUGGCCAAAGAAGACUGUUCUACCCCAGCCUCCAUCACAGAAGAAAUAUCUAUCACCCAAACCCAAAAGCUAUGAAUUUAGUCUGAGCAUUCCUUAUUUUGAUCUUUUGGUCAGAAAUGAAGGGGGGGAUUUGGCCAGUGAAGGACAUGAUGGUGGAAAUUAUACUGCUCCUGUCUCCAAACCAGGCUUUCAAAUCGAUUUAUCCAUUCCCUUAUCAUCUGUUUCUCAAUCUCCCAAUAUCCCAAUGACCAGCUAUGUUGACCAUUCAGUAAAUCAAGAAAAUCCAGAGAACACUGAGUUUGUCAAUUACGGUAACAUAAAGCCGGAAAUGCCACAAUCAAGGCAACCCUUCUUAAACUCUGCUGGUAGUAGUUACUUAGAUGCACAGGAGCAGACUUAUCAACCAUAUUCCAUCGAAACACAAUCAAGUUCAACUCUUCUUGGAUCAGCAAGACCUUUUCUAAAUUUUCAAACACAGGAGCAGACUUAUGGACCAGGUCACGUUAAACCACAAACUUCCACCCUGCAUGAAACUGAAAGGCCUUUCUUCAACUUUGAAACACCACCACAAGAGACUUUAGAGCCAAGUCGUGUUAAACCCCAAUCAAGUUCUGCAAUAACUGGAUCAGAAUGGCCUUUCUUUAACUCGGCAGCAACACAGCACCAGACAUAUGAACCAGGUUAUCUUAAACCACAAUCAAUUUCAGGCCCGGGAGGAUCAGAUUGGCCUGCUUUAAACUCAGCACCAACCCAGCCACAAACCUUUGAGGCUGAUGGUAUUAAACCGCAAUCAAGUUCAACCCUUGGCACAUCAGAAUGGCCUGCCUUCAAUUUGGCACCACCACGGCAACAAACCUUUGAGGGAGAUGGUCUUAAACCACAGUCAAGUUUAACCCUUGGUGGAUCAGAAUCUCCUGUCCUAAACUUGGCACCAAUUCAUCAACAGACUCAUGAGUCAGGUUAUCUUAAGCCUCAAUCAAGUUCAACCCUUGGUGGAUCAGAAUGGCCUGCCUUCAAUUUGCCACCAACUCUGCAACAAACCUUUGAGCCAAGUCACGUUAAGCCACAAUACAGUUCAGCCCUGGAUGGAUCAGAAUGGCCUGCCUUCAACCAGGCACCAAUUCAGCAACAGACUCACGAGUCAGGUUAUCUUAAACCACAAUCAAGUUUAACUGUUGGUGGAUCAGAAUGGCCUGCCUUCAAUUUGCCACCACCAUGGCAACAAUCCUUUGAGGGAGAUGGUCUUAAACCACAAUCCAGUUCAGCAAUAGCUGGAUCAGAAUGGCCUGCCUUAAACUCAGCAGCAACACAGCAACAGACUCAUGAGUUGGGUUAUCUUAAACUGCAAUCAAGUUCAGCCCUGGAGGGAUCAGAAUGGCCUGCCUUAAACUUGGCACCAACUCUGCAACAGGCUUCUUUACACAGGCUUCUUUAACUCAGUGUCAACUCUGUUCAAUCUGUGCCCAUUUCUGCCAAGACUGUAACUCACCAUGUAAAUAAAUAUACAAUUUCCUUCUUGCAUCUGAUGUCAUCAUUUAUAUUUUUAUACUUUUGACUGAUACAUCUCUG
ensembl:lncRNA